CCCCCCUUACCUUCUUUAUCCCUAAGCAUUUUCGUUCCUCUUUUCGCACAAUCUCUCGCUCACGGAUGCCCGACUACCUCCUAUUUUACCACAACAUCAUCUUCCUCUUCGUCAUUUUCUCCCUCGCGCCGCUCCUGCUCGCCCUCAUCGAACUCGGCUUCCCUGCCUCCGUCUCCUCUUUCAAGAUCCAAAGCAAGAUCCGCCUCCCGCCGACCUCCUUCUUCCAGUACUAUAAGGACGUCAUGCGGGUGUUCCUCCUCGUUGUCGACCCGCUUCAACUCUCCUCUUACCCCCACCAUCAAGGUGUUACAAGCUGUGAGAAGUGGUGGAAUCUUCAAUUUUGGUAGCAAAAAAUUUAGAGCAGCUCGGAAACAAGGUGGUGCGGACUUAUUUAUAUGCUAUGCUGGGGUUCAGCUGCGAGAAGCUGUUGUAGCAAAAUCCGAUUGGCUUGCCUUCGAUUUUGAAGAACUACUGAGCUCUUUGCAAUAACAUAAGGUCUUCGGAUAAACCUUCCUGAAACUUUCUCCUUGUAUCAAAAAUUGUAUACGGUCAAGAGUUACUAGUGCUUCAGAUAAAGAUGAACUCUUCUAAUAUAUGUUUAUAUUUUGCAAGUUCUAUUGACAAAGUUUCCUAGCAUGCCACCAACGUUUCAAGUAACAUCAAAUGUUUUCCAGGAUUUGACAAUUACAAUUUGAUAUCAACCAGAUGACACGAUCUGGCGGAUUUAGCUUAGGAGGAACUUUUCAAUCUAGCCUUCAGCAACAGCAACUGCAUACUACCACAACCCAUAGUUUGAGCCUGCCAAGGGUCUUUAUAAAACAUUUGGUUCUUCAUGGUUUGAUGAAUCUGCCAAGGGGGAGCUUGAGUACUGCAGUCCAACAUGUUAUUAUGCCAAAACACCACCACCUCUACAUGUAAGCUUUUAUGUUGUGGUUUUAUUUGCCGAUAUGAAUGGGGUACUUGAAGAGUAUGUGAUUUAUCAAAUAUGUUAUUGUGGUUGUAGCAACUGCAUUUCUCUAAAUUUCAGCUUUCAACCUUGUUUUAUGUCUUCUACAGGUAUUAUAUUCUUUCCCUUUUUUUUUUUUUGGUGCUUUGCUCACAUACUUUGCUUCACAAAAAUCCAGAAUGUUGGAAAAGGUUGACAUGGAA